CCAGACUCCUACGGGAGGCAGCAGUGAGGAAUAUUGGUCAAUGGGCGGAAGCCUGAACCAGCCAAGUCGCGUGAGGGAUGACGGCCCUAUGGGUUGUAAACCUCUUUUGCCGGGGAGCAAAGUGCCGCACGUGUGCGGUUUGGAGAGUACCCGGAGAAAAAGCAUCGGCUAACUCCGUGCCAGCAGCCGCGGUAAUACGUAGGGGGCAAGCGUUAUCCGGAAUUACUGGGUGUAAAGGGAGCGUAGACGGUGAAGUAAGUCUGGAGUGAAAGGCGGGGGCCCAACCCCCGGACUGCUCUGGAAACUGUGAAGCUGGAGUGCAGGAGGGGUAAGCGGAAUUCCUGGUGUAGCGGUGAAAUGCGUAGAUAUCAGGAGGAACACCGGCGGCGAAGGCGGCUUACUGGACUGUAACUGACGUUGAGGCUCGAAGGCGUGGGGAGCAAACAGGAUUAGAUACCCCAGUAA
rnacentral:rRNA from 1 species